AUUAUGCUCUGAUUUGGGUAUUUUCGGUCAUUUGGUAAAUGUGACAACAAUGCUGUGAAGGUGGAAGGAGUCCCCUUUUCCCCUCGAGUUACAGCUUUGGUCCACAACAUCAACGUGUGCUGCCAUUAAAUUAAAAAGAAGAAGAGUUAGUUGAUCUCGCCAUGUUCGCCGUUUUGCGAGCUAGCUAAAAAGCUGGUGGUACCAUUGAAAUGAACAAAAACUGUAUAACGUUUUCAACACCCACAUUCCCGAGGGAAGGGUAAAGUUUUGGAGACGAGGAGACACAACCUUUCGUAGUAGUCUGCGUUAGAGGAAGAGGCAAAAUAUUGCUUGAAUAUUUCUGAGAAUUGGAUUUGUGUGACAGUGCCAGAAACGUCAGGUUGGUGAGGGUGAAGCCCGAGAUGGAGGACUUCUACAGUGCCAUAGCAUAAAAAGGAUGAAUACAACACUACAAACUACCCCUCUCCCAUCUGGAAAAGCUUGGUUGUACUGUGAGAGUCAUGUUCUUUGACUGUGCAUUCAAGAACAUACAACAUACAACAUACAGCCCUCACUCUUGUGGGAUUACGUGGGGGUGGAUCACCGCCUCACCACCUGGAUUCUGGACUACCUAACAAACAGACCACAGUAUGAGAGGUUAAAGGACUGUGUGUCUGACACCACAAAUACCAGUGGACAGCAAUAUGUGCAAUAUUUCUGUGUAAGACAUGCAACUUCUUU